rnacentral:rRNA from 1 species
UGGGAUGGGCGCAGCCUGACCGCAUUCCGCGUGAGUGAAGAAGGCCUUCGGGUUGUAAAGCUCUUUCGCAAGGGAAGAAAACUUACUCUCUAAUAAAGAGUGAGGUUGACGGUACCUUGAUAAGAAGCACCGGCUAACUACGUGCCAGCAGCCGCGGUAAUACGUAGGGUGCGAGCGUUAAUCGGAAUUACUGGGCGUAAAGCGUGCGCAGGCGGUUUUGUAAGUCAGAUGUGAAAUCCCCGAGCUCAACUUGGGAACUGCGUUUGAAACUACAAGACUAGAAUAUGUCAGAGGGGGGUAGAAUUCCACGUGUAGCAGUGAAAUGCGUAGAGAUGUGGAGGAAUACCAAUGGCCAAGGCAGCCCCCUGGGAUAAUAUUGACGCUCAUGCACGAAAG